CAACAGCGAUAAGGGAACCUCGAGUGCCAGGUUACAAAUCUGGCUGUCGAGAUGCCUAAAAAGCAUUUCAUAGCAAGGGCCGGGCAAGACCGGUGCCAGCCGCCGCGGUAACACCGGCGGCUCGAGUGGUAACCGUUAUUAUUGGGUCUAAAGGGUCUGUAGCCGGCCGGAUAAGUCUCUUGAGAAAUCUGGCAGCUUAACUGUCAGGCUUUCAGGAGAUACUGUCUGGCUCGAGGCCGGGAGAGGUGAGAGGUACUUCAGGGGUAGGGGUGAAAUCUUGUAAUCCUUGAAGGACCACCAGUGGCGAAGGCGUCUCACCAGAACGGACCUGACGGCAAGGGACGAAAGCUAGGGGCACGAACCGGAUUAGAUACCCGGGUAGUCCUAGCCGUAAACGAUACUCGCUAGGUGUCGGCCACGGUGCGACCGUUGUCGGUGCCGUAGGGAAGCCG
rnacentral:rRNA from 1 species